rnacentral:miRNA from 1 species
CGGCCGGACUGGACUGCGCGC